CUUUUAUAGAUUCCACAUAGAAUUAAUAUAUGACAUUCAUUUUUCUCAAAAAGAUGCUGAUAUUAUCUUGGAAUUAUUCUGAUAAAUAGCUUAAAGCAGAGGCGACAUCUUGCUUCAUUCCAGAAACAGGUGAUACCCAGGUGUGUGAUCUGAGGACUGUGUGUGAUGGUACAGGGAAGAGUCAGAUCUUCUGAGAAUGGGGCCCUAUCUCCUUUUCCUGCCAGAUCUUGAGCCAGCUUCACAGGCUGCUGAUCUCUUUCUCAGCUAUCCCAGAACCAGAGCUCCUUCCUGCCCAAAUUGGAUUUACCUAAAAUUUCAUGGGCCUCAGACCCCAGGUCUCCGCCGAGGUCUCCAUCCAGUCUGCAGGCCUGAUGGCCCACCCUAGCCUCUGCAGCUGAGUCAUUGGACCCUUCCUGGGGAAACUCCCAAAGCAGGCCCACUGGAGCUCCAUCCAGUGUCCAUCCCAUGUGGAAACUCGGAGAUCAGGAAGCAAACUUCAGGCCUCCCUUGGUCUGACUGUACCCACUUUUGUGAUGCUGCAGAUGUAUCCUGGCUGGGUCAGGGCUAACUGAGAGGAGAUUCCCUUCCCAGAGCCCUGAACCAGGAGUCAGGACAAGGACCUGUUUCUGCCUUUUACCCGUGCUUAUAAAACACAUCUCUCCAUCCCAGGGCCCUGAUCCACGGACAUCAGGACAAAGUGGUCAGAGUCUUAAUUGCCUCCUUUUAUCUCCCUUAAGUUUCCUUCCCACCAUCAUCCAGGGCUGGAGAAAAUUGUCUUCCUUCUACUUUCCCUGCAGCAUCCUCCUUUUGCUUACAAGUUUCAGUCUUGGGAUGGCCAGACCCCUUGAUAUAUGGGAGGGAAAGAGUCAAGUUACCUAGAAAGCUGAGAACAAUAAGCUAUUUACUCUCCUGCUCUGUAAUCUAUUUCUUUAUGUCAGAAGCUGGAAAUUCAUUUGCUCUUUCCAUUGUAUACCUUCUUUACUUUAUCUUUUAAUUAACAUAUAAUUGACAUGUAAUAUAUUAGUUUCAGAUGUACAACAUAGUGAUUCAAUGUUACAAAAUGAUUACAGGAAGUUAACAUCAUCACAUGUAGUUAGAAAUUUUUAUUCUUGCUGUGAGAACUUUGGGAGUCUACAGUCUUAGCAACUUUCAGACACACAAUAUGGUGCAUUUAAUUGUAGUCACCAUGCUGUAUAUGAUAUCUCCAUAACUUAUUUCUUUUAUAACUGGAAGUUUGCACCUACAGAUUUCCCCAAACCCAUAUAACCUACUUAUAGUCAACGGCCAAUCUGCUCUAUAUAUUUGACUUCAUGGUUUUUUGUGUUUUUUUUUAAUUCUGAUUUUUUUUUCUUUUUUAGAUUCAUAUAUAGGUGAGAUCAUAUGGUAUUGUCUUUCUCUGAUCUAUUUCACUUAGCAUAAUACCCUCACAGUCCAUCCAUGUUGAUACAAAUGGCAGGAUUAUCUUCUUUUUGUGGCUGAAUGCCAUUCAUUGUACAUAUACACCACAUUGUCUUUAUCCACGCCUCUGUUGAUGGGCAGAUUAUUUCUAUGUUGUGGUUAUUGUGAAUAAGGCUGCUAUGAGCAUGAGAAUGCAAGACAGUGAUUUUGUUUCCUUCAGAUAAAUGCCCAGAAGUGGAAUUGCUAGAUCACAUGCUAUUAAGAGUUCAAUUUUUCAAUUUUUUUGAGGAAACUUCAUAUUGUUUUUCAUAGUGGCUUCACCAAUUUACAUUCCCAACAAGCAUGCGCAAGGGUUCCCUUUUUUCCACAUCUUAGCCAACACUUAUUUCUUGUCUUUUUGAAUAAGAACCGUUCUAACAGGUAUGAAGUGUAUCUCAGUAUGGUUUUGACUUGCACUUCCCUGUUGGUUAGUGAUUUUGAGCACCUUUUGUUACAACCGUUGGUCAUUUAUAUGCCUUUGGGGAAAUGUCUGUUCAGAUCCACUGCUCAUUUUUUCCCCUAAGUGAUGUAAGUUUUAAAAAGUAUUUUGAUAUUAACAUUUUGUCAGAUAUGAUUUGUAAAUGUUUUCCCAUUCCAUGGGUUGAGUUUUUUCCCUUUUUGGAGAGUUUCCUUUGCUGUACAGAAGUUUUCUAGUUUGAUGGAGUCCCACUUGUUUAUUUUGCUUCUGCUACCUUUUCUUUUCAUGUCAAAUCCAAAAUACCAUACAAGACAAUACAAUGUCAAGUUCACCCCCAUGUUUUCUUCUGGGAGUUUUAUGGUUUCAGGUCUAACAUUCAAGUCUUCAUCCAUUUUGAGUUGAUUUUUGUGUAUGGUGUAAGAUAGUGGUCCAGAUUCAUUCUUUUGCAUGUAGCUGUCCAGUUUUCCCAGUACAGUUUACUAAAAAGACUAUCUUCUGUAUAUUCUUUGUAUAUUCCCCAUUGUAUAUUUGUAUAUUCCCCAUUUUUUACAUUUUAUAUUCCCCGUUGUAUACUCUUGGCUCAUUUGCUGUAAAC
ensembl:lncRNA